AAACCGGCCCUUUUCAGGGCCACCACUUCCUCUCAAAAGAGCUAUGU
rfam:Branchiostoma floridae genomic scaffold BRAFLscaffold_174, whole genome shotgun sequence.